CGAAGCUUAGGAAUGUAUGUAAGUACAUUGGUAGAGGAGCAUUCUUAAAGGGGUGAAGCAGUACCGAUAAGGAGCUGUGGACUUUUAAGAAGAGAGAAUGCCGGAAUGAGUAGCGAGAUGGAGGUGGGAAUCCUCCAGGCCGAAUAUCCAAGGUUUCCAGAGUAAAGCUGAUCUGCUCUGGGUAAGUCGGGGCCUAAGGCGAGGCUGAGAGGCGUAGUCGAUGGACAACAGGUUGAAAUUCCUGUACCAUGUAUCAUCAGAACUGUGGGGACACAGAAGGACAACACAUCCCGGGAAUGGGAAUACCGGGGCAAGCGAGGUAGGAGUACGGUUGGCAAAUCCGCCGUGCAAUCCGAAGACGUGACGCGCAGCGAACUAAAGUAGCGAAGUGUGUGAUUCCGGCUGUCAAGAAAAGCCGCUAUUGUGUGAUACAUGCCCGUACCGUAAACCGACACAGGUAGAUGAGGAGAGAAUCCUAAGGCCGGCGGGAGAAGCAUUGUUAAGGAACUCGGCAAAAUGACCCCGUAACUUCGGGAGAAGGGGUGCCACAGAGAUGUGGCCGCAGAGAAUAGGCUCAAGCAACUGUUUAGCAAAAACACAGGUCUAUGCAAAACCGUAAGGUGAGGUAUAUGGGCUGACGCCUGCCCGGUGCUGGAAGGUUAAGAGGAGAGGUUAGCGCAAGCGAAGCUUUGAAUUUAAGCCCCAGUAAACGGCGGCCGUAACUAUAACGGUCCUAAGGUAGCGAAAUUCCUUGUCGGGUAAGUUCCGACCCGCACGAAAGGCGUAAUGAUUUGAGCGCUGUCUCAACAAUGCACCCGGUGAAAUUGAAAUACCAGUGAAGAUGCUGGUUACCUGCGCCAGGACGGAAAGACCCCAUGGAGCUUUACUCCAGUUUGAUACUGGGAUUCGGUAUUGCAUGUACAGGAUAGGUGGGAGGCUUUGAAACAUGGACGCCAGUCUGUGUGGAGCCAAUGUUGGGAUACCACCCUUGCGAUAUUGGGUUUCUAACCUGCGCCCGUGACCCGGGCGGGGGACAAUGUCAGGCGGGGAGUUUGACUGGGGCGGUCGCCUCCGAAAGGGUAUCGGAGGCGCUCAAAGGUUCCCUCAGGAUGGUUGGAAACCAUCCAAAGAGUGCAAAGGCAUAAGGGAGCUUGACUGCGACACCGACGGGUGGAGCAGGUACGAAAGUAGGACUUAGUGAUCCGGUGGUAUGAAAGUGGGAUUGCCAUCGCUCAACGGAUAAAAGCUACCCUGGGGAUAACAGGCUUAUCACUCCCAAGAGUUCACAUCGACGGAGUGGUUUGGCACCUCGAUGUCGGCUCAUCGCAUCCUGGGGCUGUAGCAGGUCCCAAGGGUUGGGCUGUUCGCCCAUUAAAGCGGUACGCGAGCUGGGUUCAGAACGUCGUGAGACAGUUCGGUCCCUAUCCGGCGCGGGCGUAGGAUAUCUGAGAGGAGCUGUCCUUAGUACGAGAGGACCGGGAUGGACAGACCGCUGGUGUACCUGUUGGCUUACCAAGGCCAUGGCAGGGUAGCCAAGUCUGGACGGGAUAAACGCUGAAGGCAUCUAAGCGUGAAGCCCCCCUCAAGAUGAGAUAUCCCAUCGCGAAAGCGAGUAAGACCCCUUGAAGACGACGAGGUAGAUAGGUUAGAGGUGGAAGUGCAGUAAUGUACGGAGCUGACUAAUACUAAUCGGUCGAGGGCUUAUCCA
rnacentral:rRNA from 2 species